rnacentral:snoRNA from 1 species
CCAGGUCAUCCUUCCCAGGCUCUGCCCAGGCGCUUAGGACACACAGGCUCCACCUCAUGACAGAGAGUCAUUUUCCACAGUGUUGGAGAUGAAACUGGAUGGCCAGCCUAUGCCUGAAAUUCCUAAGUUCUGUGGACAAUGACUUGAGUUGAUAAAUCAUGCAGGAAACAACC